CAUGCAGAUGAGAUUUUACAAUUCUUCAUCCCUCCUGCUCUUCCUUGUUUCCCUGUAAUGGAUUUUGAUUUAUUUGAUGAUGGGAUCAGACUUCUCUCCUCUGUAUCAUCAGGAACCUUUACAAGUUUUCUGCUAAGGGAAGGGAUAAUAAAAUUUGCAUUAUGAGUUUGUUUUGUUAUCUUCCCUCCACUGCAACUGAGAUUUGAGAAACCCUGCAUGUGAGUGUCUGUCUGUGUAAGCAAAGUAGCCACGAUCACUUCAAUCAGCCCCGGUACCAGCGCUGCCAGCCCUUUUCCCACUGCACACAGGAGCACAUCCCAUAAAUACGGAGUGACUGCAGCCAGCCAUCUGCAAGGGAGCCAACAUUCAGCUGCAAUAAGCAGAUCCUCAGAGCAGCAGCACCAGCCAAGCUCCUGCCAGGCUCUGAGGAGUGCCCAGUGUGACUGGUGCCCUCAGCUCUGCUCUCAGAAUAAACCAUGGGAUGUCUCCAGCUGGGAGAACCCAGCCAUGCUCCUCCAGGAAGCCACAGGAAUGAGGGAGAAACGUGAGCUGGGGAUGGUUCACUCCAGUGCACCUCAGAAGUGGGAAAGAGCUGAUGGCUUCAUCUUCCAAAAUGGACCACAGGGACUAGGACAUAAGGGGAUUUUAGAAGGAAUUUUGAAUGAGUUAGAGACAAGACCUCUGAGAUUUUAGAUAAUGUGGUUUAUUUUCUUCUACAUAGGCAGGAAGGGUGAGUUCAAGUCACAUCUUCACAGGGUAGUUCAGAAGGUCACAAGACCCCUAGUUACAAGACCUUUAAGGACUUAUUAACCCAUAAAACACUACCAAUGAGGAUAUUUGUAUUUUUUUACCUAAUCCUUAAAUAUUUCAUCUUAUGGACUCAUACUACAGUGUAAAGUUUCUUAGUCAAUCAUGUUAUGACACACAAACCUACAGUACUGUAUUCUAAAACGCUAAACUUCCUUCUACUAAACAUGUCUCUACUUUAUAAAUCCACGUUCUCAGUUCUAGCACCUAAGUUUGGAAGCCUUUUCCAAGGGCUCAGAUCAAAUCCUGUGUUUAAUUCUAAGCUUUGGCUUGCAGGCUCAAAGAUCUGAGAAUUCCCUGCAUUUCGGAUUCCAACAAGGACACCCCAGAUUUUUGUUUUUUUCUGCACUGAUGACAAUUUUAAAACUGCCUGUGUAGUGCUGUCCUCUUGAAAGAGUGUGCAGUUACUGGAAUAAAUCACACUUUCUCUUCCCUUCUGUCAGCUAUUAAUAGUGGUAAAUUUUAAUUGCAUAUGUAAAUAAAAACACUGUGUACUCAUUAGUUUAAAUAUGUUUUUCAUUAGGCAAAUGAAAUGCUUAUUGUAUAUGAUGCAAAGCUAAAAGGAGAAUGUUAACAGCAUUGAGCAGUUUGGGAAGUAUAGUGACUUGAAUUUUUAAAGUUCUUUCUUAGGAUAAAAAUAAACCAUGUUUUAAGGGAUUAUUAUGGGCAAAUUUUGCAGUAGAGACAUCUUGUUUCUGGAAAUGGGAAAAACAAAGAUGAGUGACAGAAGUAUGGGUAUGGUGUCAAGGCCAAUGCAUUAAAACUUCUACUAAAAGAGAGAGACAGCACAUAAACUUGCAUUACUAUUUAUAGCAUUGGCUAUUUUAGAGAUGGUAACUGCAAGGAGGGCAGCAUUUUUCAGUUUCUAUAUAGAAAAAUCCUGACAUGUCUCACAUUUUGAUAUCUUGAAACAUAUUGGUCCCAAAUUACAUCACUUCUUCAUCGUUAAUUUUCAAACUCUUGGAACGCCACACUCCAAAUACACUUUCUGCUAUUUUUAGGGGUAUGCAAUUAUAGUCAAGAAGAUACAAUUUUUCAGUUCAGUAAUCCAUACUUUCAAGCUUGGAGUAUAUUUAUCUACCUGCGAGCUCAUAAUUUGUUUCCUUUCUAUCAACAAAAUACCCAGAAUUUCAUAACUAAUUUACUUCUCAACAUUUUUUUCUAUCUCCUUCCACUGUUCUGCUCACUAUGAAAUGAGAGAAAUCUUAUCAUAGACACAUUUAGUAAAUUAGUAUAAUUUUAUACAAAAGCCUGCACUCUGAAAACUUCAGUCUUAGUAAAAAGAUGCUCUGAAGGUAUGACUUUCUAAAGUUAUGGCUCAGAACAGUUUAGCAAUCUCCCUUAAUAUCCAAGCAUGUGUCUCAUGAUUAAUAUGAGAACACAAAAUCUCUCUGCCUGCAAAACUCAGAGCACCAAAUACACCUUCUUCCCACAUGCUUGAAUAAGAGAGCCAAGAUAAAAACCAUUUUUAUUUUAUAAAGAUAAGCUUGAGUAUCCUUGUCUCAUCCAUGCUUCUUUAGUUCAAAUUCUAUCAAACUUUUAUACUGGAGCACAGUAAAAUAUUUAUAUGCAAGAUGUAGCAAACGAAAUGCAAGGGCUGGCUAGAGGGCAGUCUCUCGGAAUUAACACAGAGCAGUCUAAAAAGGACUGAUGUGUCACUCUUCUAGACUCUUCAUUUGCCAAACUAAAUUGUAGCUAGCAGUACCCAUUGGCAAGAGAAUAAAGGCAACAGAGAUUCCAUUUUGUAUGAAGAGUUAUUGCAUUUGACACGGUUGAAAACAUAUUAAUAGUUUUUAAGACUAA